AUCUGACCAAACAGCGGUGGACGCAAAGCUGACCAGCUCGCGGCCAUCCAACUGUUUCAGCAGGGCAGCCCAGAGCCAAGGACACCUUGCCAUGACACAAAAAAAAAACAAAUGGAGAGACAACUGUCCCUCAGGUCAGAACAGGUGCUGCGGGACAGGCCAGAGUCUGCCGGGACAGCUGUACUAUUCCUGUCCGGAACAGAGCCGGCUGACUGCGGAUCCACAGAGACUAAUGACAGAUGGACAGGUGGGGGAGCCCUCGAACGGCCCGGAGAUUUCUGCUUUAUACCGCAAGAUAAUGGCGGAAUUUAUUCACUCCGAUGAGCAAUUUCCACACAUACACACAGACUCGUGGAAAAACACCGCGAAUCAUGCAGCUGCAACACCCCGCGCCAAUUAACGUGACUGCGACCUCACACAUCCGGGUCAGUGCAUCCGAGCAGGGGAACAAAGGCAGAGCUGGUCCCAGAAUGUGAGUUCCCAAUUACCCUUGAGUGAGAUCCACGGAGCAGAAUGCUGCAGGUGAGAAGUUGGAUGGGGCCUCUGUGAUGGGCUGGCAGAGACACAAUCGACCUCUGUGGCACCGGCUUGGAAUCGCUGCGUGCCUGCGAUGAAAAAUGCUGAGGGCACAACACAAAACAGCACACAGACUAAUGAAUUCAGUGCAUGUGUAAUUUAUGACAAGCAGAAGGCUCCUUCAUUUUUUCCGGUGUGAAGCUGCAUGCUACUUUAAUGUGAAAUGCGGCAAAUUAAAUACGUAUUUAAGAGCCGGCUAUCAAGAGGCAUGUGUCACGUGAGGUCUUUGACCCACAUAACAGAUACUAAUAUAAUUUUUUUUUUUUUCAUAUGGGCGAUGAAAGGAAAUGUUUUAAAGAAUAUUUGAGAGUUCAUGGUGACUGUUGUCAUCAACUUCCAAAAAGAUAAAAAAAUCUAAAGAAACUUUAUAAAGCACAGAAUUUUCUAAUAUAUAAAGUAUUUUUUUAUAUAUUUUUUUAACAAAUUGUUACAUUUGUGGUGUCAAAAAUUACUGGCCUUUUUAUUGUUUUCUUUCAGUUAUCACAGGUUUUGUAUUUCUUUGAUUGAUUAUCAAAGGCCUAAUUUAUCUGAGCUAAUGCCCCUCAGUUUUUCAGUACAUAUUGCCAAAAUAAUGCACAAAUGUGUAGGGUUUUUUUCACUUAAAACCUGAGAUUCUUAAACGUAGACCAAUGGGAUCUACAGUCACUUCCAAAUAUACAGAAGUACAUAACCUGUGGUAAAUGAAAGAGAAGUCGACAAGUUAAUUGACAAUUAAAUAAGCAAAUAAAAUACUUAGUUAUAACUGAGUACUAACCAAGGAGCAGAUAAGUCAUUAUACAGAUAAGCAUUUCAGAUCUUUUUUUGUUUAUGUCAGAUUCAAAAAAAGUGCAUUUGUACAUCAAAAUAGUCAGCAUCACCUACCGGUGUUAUUUUUUGUGCUUUUUCAAACAUAUCCCUCAAGUUUGGCGUGAACUGUUGCUUUAAAAAUCAGUUAAGUAAACAUAUUAAUUGAUCAAAACUUGUCAGACAAACACAGCAUGCAGUGGCAGAUGUUGUCAAUUGUCAAAGUGAACGCGAUAGGAAAUUUGCCUAAAGGCCACGAGGACUGAAUGCUGUAUCUCAUCUCAACACGUUCCCUUUCUGUUAACAGUUCAAUGGCAUGUCAUCUCUGCAACAAUUACCCUGUCCUUACUGUACCGGAUAACUCGAUAGAAUAUGACUGUGAUCUAAUGUAGUAGGUCCAUCAGUGCUGGUGUAAUGAGAGUGGAGUUCACACAGAGAUCAGGAAUCAAUGUUCAGCUCUGCAAAGGGCAUAUAGAGUUUGUUAGUGAUGUUCAUGAAAAACUCAAAUGAAGUUAUAAACAUUCUCUGCAAAAAAACAUUCCAAAAGUCCAAAAGCCUUAAAAUAAAUUAAAUAAAUUAAUAUGGAUUAAAUAAUAUAUAAUAAUAAUAAUAAUAAUAAUAAUAUUAAUAAUAUUUAUAACGUUUUUAGAUAAUUUAUUAACUCGGUCGCUGUGUAUUUUGACACAAUAACUACAAGGCUAUUGACAGCAACGUAAUUAUUUAAUGUAAUAAUUGAUUUAAUAUUAAAUUAAAUAAUAAUUUAGAUAAUUUGUAUAUACAUUUAAAAAAACAUUUUGACACAAAAUUAAGUUAAAAUUUAGAUAUCUUUAAUAAAUUUCUUUUAGAGCAUCAUUCUUUAACAUAAAAUUGAUAAUAAUAAUUUUGAUCAUAUUUUACAUGGUAUAAUUUGAAAA